rnacentral:rRNA from 1 species
AUUGAACGCUGGCGGCAUGGUUAAAGCAUGCAAGUCGAACGCGAAAGGGAGCAAUCCCAAGUAGAGUGGCGAAAGGGCGAGGAAUACGUUUCUAACGUGCCCCGAGGUCGAGGAUAGCUCGGAGAAAUCCGUGGUAAUACUCGAUGAUCCUGGCCGAUCUCCUGAUUGGCCAGGCAAAGGUUUACUGCCUUGGGAUCGGGAAACGUCCUAUCAGCUAGUUGGUGAGGUAACGGCUCACCAAGGCUAAGACGGGUAGCGGGUGUGAGAGCAUGACCCGCCGCAUCGGGACUGAGACACUGCCCGGACUCCUACGGGAGGCUGCAGCGACGAAUCUUCCGCAAUGGGCGCAAGCCUGACGGAGCAAUGCCGCGUGCAGGAU